rnacentral:rRNA from 1 species
GACGAACGCUGGCGGCGUGCUUAACACAUGCAAGUCGAACGGAAAGGCCCUGCUUUUGUGGGGUGCUCGAGUGGCGAACGGGUGAGUAACACGUGAGUAACCUGCCCUUGACUUUGGGAUAACUUCAGGAAACUGGGGCUAAUACCGGAUAGGAGCUCCUGCUGCAUGGUGGGGGUUGGAAAGUUUCGGCGGUUGGGGAUGGACUCGCGGCUUAUCAGCUUGUUGGUGGGGUAGUGGCUUACCAAGGGUUUGACGGGUAGCCGGCAUGGGAGGGUGACCGGCGACAAUGGGACUGCGGUACGGACCAGAGUCCAAUGGGGGGCAGUAGUGGGGAAUAUGGUACAGUCAGAGGAAGCGUGAUGAAGCGACGCUCCGGGCGGGAUGACGGCCUGUGGGUUGUAAACCGCUGUCGGCUGUGACGAAGCGGUAGUGACGGUAACGGGUAAAGAAGCACCGGCUAACUACGUG